AGCAGCCGCGGUAAUUCCAGCUCCAAUAGCGUAUAUUAAAGUUGUUGCAGUUAAAAAGCUCGUAGUUGAAUUUCGGGAUCAGUAGGUCGGUCGUGCCACUGGUAUGAACUGGUCUCACUGGUUCCUCCCUCUUGACGAACUGCAAUGCUAUUAAUUUAGUGUAGUAGGAAAUCAGGACUGUUACUUUGAAAAAAUUAGAGUGUUUAAAGCAGGCUUUGGCUUGAAUACAUUAGCAUGGAAUAAUGAAAUAGGACGUUCGAUCCUAUUUUGUUGGCUUCUAGGAUUGACGUAAUGAUUAAUAGGGACAGUUGGGGGCAUUAGUAUUCAAUUGUCAGAGGUGAAAUUCUUGGAUUUAUUGAAGACUAACUACUGCGAAAGCAUUGCCAAGGAUGUUUUCUAUUAAUCAAGAACGAAAGUUAGGGGAUCGAAGACGAUCAGAUACCGUCGUAG
rnacentral:rRNA from 1 species